rnacentral:lncRNA from 1 species
UUUUAAUCACUCCUCUCCUAGCUAAAUCCAUGAUCGCACGAAGAUUUAGAUGCCCCAAUCGAUUGUGCCAAGUCAUAACAGUGGCUUGUACUCCCACAUGAUUAACCUCCUUCCUUAGAUUCCUCCUCAAUGGUAGCCUAUAUAGAUCCAUUCCCUUCAGAGUCACCCUUGAGUAGCACCUUCUUGCUCUUUAAAUCCUUUACCACCACAUUCUGUGGAUCAAAUUCAAUAGAAACAAGAUUAUCACAGCAAAAUCUUCUUACUGUCAACAGAUUUUUUGAAGCAGAUGGAACAUUAAGCAAAUCAUUCAGAUAGAAAUUCUUAUUAUUAGAUAUAAAAUGAGAAUCACCAGUGUGAGAAAUAUCCAUAGGUUGACCAUUAGCUGCAUAGAUAGAUUUGUUACCUCGAUAUUUUUUGAUUGUAUGCACAUUUUCUGCAGUGCUGGUGACAUGAUGUGUGGCUCCAGAAUCUGGAUACCACACCGAAGUUGCAUCAUC